rnacentral:piRNA from 1 species
UCCAAUUAUUUAAUCCCUUCCUAAAAUGC